rnacentral:tRNA from 1 species
GCACCUAUGGUGAAAUGGAUAUCACAAUAGUCUUCGGAACUAUUAUUCCAGGUUCGAAUCCUGGUGGGUGCACAA